rnacentral:rRNA from 1 species
AUUGAACGCUGGCGGCAGGCCUAACACAUGCAAGUCGAGCGGGGUUUUCGGACCUAGCGGCGGACGGGUGAGUAAUGCUUAGGAAGCUGCCCGAUAGAGGGGGAUACCAGUUGGAAACGACUGUUAAUACCGCAUAAUGUCUACGGACCAAAGUGUGGGACCUUCGGGCCACAUGCUAUCGGAUGCGCCUACGUGGGAUUAGCUAGUUGGUGAGGUAAUGGCUCACAAAGGCGACGAUCUCUAGCUGGUUUGAGAGGAUGAUCAGCCACACUGGAACUGAGACACGGUCCAGACUCCUACGGGAGGCAGCAGUGGGGAAUAUUGGACAAUGGGCGCAAGCCUGAUCCAGCCAUGCCGCGUGUGUGAAGAAGGCCUUCGGGUUGUAAAGCACUUUCAGCGAGGAGGAAGGGGUGUGUGUUAAUAGUACACACCUUUGACGUUACUCGCAGAAGAAGCACCGGCUAACUCUGUGCCAGCAGCCGCGGUAACAC